AACGAACGCUGGCGGCAGGCCUAACACAUGCAAGUCGAGCGAAGCCUUCGGGCUUAGCGGCGGACGGGUGAGUAACGCGUGGGAACGUGCCCUUUGGUACGGAAUAGCCCCGGGAAACUGGGAGUAAUACCGUAUGUGGUCGAGAGACGAAAGAUUUAUCGCCAAAGGAUCGGCCCGCGUUGGAUUAGGUAGUUGGUGGGGUAAUGGCCUACCAAGCCGACGAUCCAUAGCUGGUUUGAGAGGAUGAUCAGCCACACUGGGACUGAGACACGGCCCAGACUCCUACGGGAGGCGGCAGUUGGGAAUCUUAGACAACGGGGGAAACCCUGAUCUAGCCAUGCCGCGUGAUCGAUGAAGGCCUUAGGGUUGUAAAGAUCUUUCAGUGGGGAAGAUAAUGACUGUACCCACAGAAGAAGCCCCGGCUAACUCCGUGCCAGCAGCCGCCGUAAUAC
rnacentral:rRNA from 1 species